GGGUUGUGAGGUUAAGCGACUAAGCGUACACGGUGGAUGCCCUGGCAGUCAGAGGCGAUGAAGGACGUGCUAAUCUGCGAAAAGCGUCGGUAAGGUGAUAUGAACCGUUAUAACCGGCGAUGUCCGAAUGGGGAAACCCAGUGCAAUUCGUUGCACUAUCGUUAACUGAAUACAUAGGUUAACGAGGCGAACCGGGGGAACUGAAACAUCUAAGUACCCCGAGGAAAAGAAAUCAACCGAGAUUCCCCCAGUAGCGGCGAGCGAACGGGGAGCAGCCCAGAGUCUGAAUCAGCUUGUGUGUUAGUGGAACGGUCUGGAAAGUCCGACGGUACAGGGUGAUAGUCCCGUACACCAAAAUGCACAGGUUGUGAACUCGAAGAGUAGGGCGGGACACGUGGUAUCCUGUCUGAAUAUGGGGGGACCAUCCUCCAAGGCUAAAUACUCCUGACUGACCGAUAGUGAACCAGUACCGUGAGGGAAAGGCGAAAAGAACCCCGGCGAGGGGAGUGAAAAAGAACCUGAAACCGUGUACGUACAAGCAGUGGGAGCACCUU
rnacentral:rRNA from 1 species